UAUAUCGGGUGUUAUCAACUUAACCACAUUGUUGUUUAUUGCUUCAGAAAAGCACAUAAAUGUAAGGGCUUUUUGGACAACUGUUCGGUAGAAAAGCGUUGAUAUCGUAGUUCAGUCAGUUUAUCCGAGAGGUCUUACAGGCGCCACAGACACCUCUGUCAGAGUCAUUUGUAAAGAGGAGCAGCACGGCAGCUGGAUGAGUGCGAGCCCUUCAAAUUAAACAUAGUGAUGGUGAUCUUGUCAAUGCUGAGAUUUUAAUGCAUCAACAGCCAUUACAUCUGUCUGGAUCAGGAUUGAACAAGAAACAGACAGCAAGAGUUGUCAGGUCAGAAACGUGAUGACACACAAACACAAGAAACUUCACAGGCGGCAAUUUCUUUUUCCACCGGUGGGUGCUCAUCACAACCUCCAGCUUUACUGGACGCCAGGUGCUCUGGAGCGCUCAAAAGCUUUGAAGAGGUGGAAAGCAGUGCAGUCAUGUUUUCGUGUGAUUUUAGAUGCGAAUUGUAAAGUUAAAGGCAGACCACCAUGCAACUUGGUGAAGUCAUGUGUCUUUCCAGAUGCCAAAAUCUGUACCCCUCAAAAAGACUUUAUUAAAUGCCAUGAUAGCCAAGAUGAGCCUGAAGAGGAGAUUUGGGAAGAUGCUGUUUCAUAAGUCUUUGUUUUGCCAGAUUAUCUGUGGUAGGGGUGUCUGCCAACGUGAUGCCUUGCUGGUCUGGUUUGAGUUUGAAGUCUCUCACAGACAGUCCAGAAGGUCUGGAGUCCAUCUUAGCUUUCAUUGAUGCUGUCAUCAUAUUGUUAGUGCAUAAGCCAGAAUGGAUGGGUGGUGGUGGCCAUAAGAAGACUGUCAACUAAACCAACAACAAAAUUCAUAUUUGCAGUAAUAAAUAAAAUGACUUUUAAACAUGUUUUUGUUUUCUUAUUUUAUGAUUUUAUUCUAUAUUUGGAAUAUUCCACUUUUGCACUACUAAGUGAAAACUGUUUGAAAGAGUGUGUUUUUACCCAUAAAAGAUAAAUUUCAACGGUGAAUCAACGUUGAAAUGCCGGCUGGGAUAUCAAAAUAGCAUUAAAAUGACAUCAACAUCAUAACAUCCUGAUGUCAAAUAGAUGUAGAAUUGACAUCAAAAUGACAUCAGCAGAGGUCAAAAUCUUGACAUCAAAUUGACACCGACACUUUGACGUCAAAAUUACUUUCAUUUUUGACCUAU